CACAUGGAACUGUGAGUCCAUUAAACCUCUCUCUUUUGUAAAUUAUCUUUAUCAGCAGUGUGAAAACAGACUAAUACACAGAGUCAACAGAAGUCAUUCAACAGAGGCCUAGUUAAUGGUGCUCUAUACAGGAGAUGCACAACAGAGCCUGAAUCCCAAAAUUUCAUGCUACAGGAGCCAUAGCUGUGCCUGCUGCAUAGCAGGCUCAAUGGCUGUGGAAGUGCAUGGAUACCCGUAAACAAAUGGAAUCCAAUGGAACGAAGGCCAGAAGGGUGCUUUGUAAUCCACAAGGGCAAAUAUCUUCAUCUGCACCCACCUUCUCCCCUUCCAGUCUCAGAUGAAGCAGCCAGCCUCCUCUGUUCUAUUCUCCUGUGCCCUGGGAAGUUGAAGAUGAAAGUGGAUCCUGUGCUCUCUUUAAUCACUGGCAGCUAAUGUGUCCAUGCAACGGAUAAAUGCGAGAAGUCUCUUCGCCUCCCUGAAGAGAAGCCUUCAUGCUCAUGCUGUCUUAGUAAAAAGGAUGUGGAGAAACUGGGGACCCAUUGGGAGAAGCAGGACAGAGAAGAGAAAAGGGGCUGUAUUGAGGAGAGCACUUCCAGAGUAGCCAAGGGAACCGAGGAAGGAUUUGCUGGCAUCUGUGCAGCCCCGGAAGCAUGCCUGACUGAGAAAAGACUGGGCCUGGGAUUAGGUGGAUUUAAUUAGAACGGGCACAGCCUUGCUGGAGCAACCUCCGAUGCUGACCUCUGUAUCUGGCCUGAGAUUUGGUGCUUGCCUGCGCUUAAGUACAGAUACCUUGGUUUUUGAUCCUGUCUGCUUGUCAGGAGGUAGUGCUGUUUUCCUCAAGUGUUAGGCUUGUGUGGCUACGGAGAACUGGUGACUGUCCAGGGAGGAGGCAGUGGCUGGAGGGGAAGGGCCACAUUCCCAAGGCCUUUGUCACAAAUAGAACCCAGAGCCUCUGGGAUGGCAGGGGAGGCAGGAGUUGACCGGCACUGCAGGGCAUCUCAGGACUCUGGGGCAGGAAGGAACCUUAGAGCCUACACAGUACACUGUUUAAUGGAUAGGGACACUUGCAGGUAAGACCCGGAGAGCUUAAGUGAUUUACCCAAAGUCAUUCAGAGAAGCAGGACCUCAAGAAAAGACCCGGGCUUAGCCCACAGCUUGAGCUUUGCCCACACCACUGCAGCCCGGGUAUCUGUGUAGACAAAUGCACUUCAUGGAGGUCAACCCAAGGGCCUCCCUCCAUCCUCGAGGGCCAAGAGUCCACGGAUGGGUCAGGGGAGAAGCUUACUUGGACCAGAAAGACAUGAGGGUGGGUGGGGGAGGGGUCACCCUUUGCUCCAGUGGGUUAGUGCUCAUCUAUCUUACCCAGCAAUUUAUUAGCUCAGUUCUAUUACCAUGGGCUAAUUGUCUCCUCAUGAUGAAUAGGGCUGCUUUCCUCCUCUCCUCUGCCUGCCCCCUCCCUCCUCCCUCAAUCCCUCCUCCGUUCCUUGUUUUCCCCCUCCCUCUCUGCCUCCCUCCUGGUUUCUUUCUUGAACACCACUCUUGUGGUGGACAUUGUGCACUGUGGCUCCAGAGUUGAAAAAGAUCCAUUUCUGUUCUCCAGGAACACACAGUAAAGAGGGGAGGACAUGAGCAGGGGGUUGGGUGCUGUUCGGGGACGAGUCUUGUACUCAGGGAUAAUACAAGAGAAUUUCUAAGAUAGCUCCGGAAAGAAAACGACAUGCCCUUAAGGCCACCUUCACUAUUCACUCUGAGAACCCCUUCCAUAUGGUGCCUGCACACAUAGAUACAUUUUCCUCUCUUCGUUGAUGCCUCCUUGAAUUUAUUUAUUGUUUGACCUUCCUCAAACUUUCAUCUACAUUCAUGCCUUUUUACAAACAACAAGCACGCUGAAAGACCAUGCACACAGACACUCCUGUGUGGAAUGACCGCCCCAUGCAAAUACAUGUGGCCCCACAAACAUUCGAGGGUACAGAUGUACACAAAGGAUGGUCUGGAUAUGUACGCAAGUUGAUGCUUGCACAUAGAUAUGAGCAGAACUACAUAAACACACAUGUAAAUGCAUGUAUGAAAAAAGCUGUAUCAAUAUGUGCUGAAAGAUUUUUGGCUUGAGGAAAGUCAUUUCAGUGCUUUGUUAAAACAAUGACAACAAAACAGACUUGAGGCAGCUUGGCCAGCUUUUGAGUGAUUUAUAACUCUGAUUGCCUUGACUUUGACGGCAGAGUUCAUUCAGAGAAAACACUUGGGGAAAAGCAGGGGACAUCAAAAAAAUCAGUAGACACCUGGUUGAUCCUCUCAGAGGAGAGGAAUCCAGAGUGCAUGGCUUCAUCUGGGGUCCCUUGGUGCUUUGUACAAAUCUCUGCUAGAAACCCUUCUCUGUGUUGCAACCACUGGUUCAUCAAAUCGUUUUCCCCACUAGACUGUAGGCUCCUUAGAGGCAACCUCAGUGUGGGAGUCAUCUUGAUGUUCUCAGCCCUGAGCGCAGUUCCUGACAGUAGAGGUUCAAUAAAUGUUUGUUGACCUAGAGGAUUAAUUGCUCUAACUAAAAUGAGUAGACAGGGAGCACACAAGGCCACUCCUUAAUUUUGGUGUUUUUCCCUCUGUGUUAGUCUGUUUAGCACUACUAUAAAGGAAUACCUGGGUGAUUUAUAAAGAAAAAUGGUUUCUUUGACUCAUGGUUCUGUGGGCUGCAGGCAUCUGCUUGGCCUUCAGUGAGGACCUCGGGAAGCUUUUACUCAUGGCAGAAGGCAAAGGGAACCAGUGUGUCACAUGGCAAGAGAAGGCACAGGAGGUGGGGGGAGGUGUCAUGCUCUGUUAAACAACCGGCUCUCACUGAUCUAAUAGAGUGAAAACUCACUCAUUUCCCUGAGGAUGACACUAAGAUGUACAUGAAGCAUCUGCCCCUGUGACACAAACACCUCCCACUAGGUCCCAUCUCCGAUAGUAGAAAUCAAAUUAUGACAUGAGAUUUGAAAGGGAGAAAUUUCCAAACCAUAUCUCCCUCUCUCUCAGUGUGGAAAGUAGCAUGGUUGGGAUCCCUGAGCCUUUAUUUCAACCUCUGUUCCUCUAGAGUCCCUAUUAUUCUAGAGUCUGGGAAGCUAAGAAUGACACUCCCGAAAUCCCUUGCAGCUACAUCUCUGGUUGUGAUGUACAUGAUAUCAACCAGCUACACUAGGGGGAGACUUGAAUUUGGAGCUGAGAAGGGUAGGGGACUGGAUUGCAGCAAUGCGGGGUUGCUUUGGAUUCAUUGGUUGUAGUGGUAGCUUUCCGAUUGGACUAGGAAUUUCCUGAUUGUGGCAGGAAACUUAGUGGUACAGUUCCAUGCUGUAAUUUUGGAGUUGCUUCUGGUAGCUUAGUGAUAUGGUUUGGCUGUGUCCCCACUCAACUCUUGUCUUGAAUUGUUGUUCCCAUAAUCCCCAUGUGUCAUGAGAGGGACCCAGUGGGGGUAAUUUAAUCAUGGGGACAGUUACCUCCAUGUUGUUCUUAUGAUAGUGAGUGAGUUCUCGCGAGAUCUGGGGGCUUCCCCACACACUUCACUCUGCACUUCUCCUUCCUGCCAUCAUGUGAAGAAGGAUGUAUUUGCUUCACCUUUCACCAUGAUUGUAAGUUUCUUGAGGCCU